AUUUAGAGCCGCUAUGGGUCAGCCAGCCAAUGGCGUCCCUGAGCCUACUUUCUCAUUGGUUACUGGGUAGAAUACACGGACCAGUUUGGGAAUUAAAAUCGCACAGCUGCUCCGAGCCUUUUUAAAAUUUCCUUUUUCAAGAUACUUUUCGUUUUUAAAAAGCCUUGAGAUUCCCCGUGGAUUGUGGCAUUGCUGCUAAUCACCAGGAGAGGCCUCCCGAAGAGACCUCUUUUUCCUUCUUCUGCUGCCACAGGAAGUAACUAGACACUGCAGGAAGCAGCAGUCAGGUUCUCCAAGAAAACAGCGAUCCAGUGCUGCGCGCUCCUGAAGAAGGGGUCCUGCCAUGGGAUCCGGUGUUAGCCUCUCACCCCCAGGGCAGGGAUCAUGGAGUUUAGCUCCUGACCUUAAAUGAUCGUUCUCUUCCUAAAGUCUCAGAGAACUUUAGACACAAAGAGUUCAAAGUUGGCCGUGUCUGGAUCCAGAGUCACAUUGAAACUGACAGUAUCAACUGUCUGAACCUAGCCAGGACGCAUAUUGGAACUCGAACCCACGUGUCGGGACUCGAACCCAGCCUAAACCCAGAUUGGGACUUGAACCCAAGGUUUUAAAUUAGAAUCACUCACCCUGUGUCUGGACACACUGAGGUUCAGGUUCUUCGUGUCUCCGUGCGGAAGGACUUCAGCGAGAGACAAAGUGAUAGGCAAGAAAUAGAUUUAUUCGGAUAGGACGCUUGUGAGAGAUGGAAGCAGGCAGGCACCGAAGCUCUGCCCGAGGAUCUGGUGGGCUACAGUUUCAUCAUCCAGGGGAGUGGGGGUUGGAAAAGCCUGCCUCUUCCUUUCUGGGAGUAGUAGCUCCUCCUUAGUGCCUGGUAAGGUGUGUAUUCAAAUCUGCAGAAGGGUGGUCCUCAAACUCUUGCCCUUGGUCUGACUAUGAAUGCAGGGCUCAUCCCAUCUCCCCACCCAAAGACCUGAGGCAAUUCUCAAGGCUCCACUAAUGCAGCAAACCUGCCCUGUGCUGAUGGCUUUUUUGAGCAAUUUAUUUACUUACCGAGAUCUCCCACUGUCCCCUAAGUUUUCCUCAUUAUCUGUGGUCCUUUACUGGGACUCCUAAAAUACCUGUGUCUCCUCCAUCCCUAUCAACGUAAACUGCGUAAAGCGUGAGAGAGAAAAGAUGCCAGGUCAAGUCUGGCAUCCCAAGCUCUCAAGGACUGGGAAAAGAGGGAAGAGGAGCCGGUCCUAACCCAUGAAGUUCCUAUCCUUCCUCCGCAAAGUAGCUGUGGUGUAAGCCUCAAGAGCAUGUUUCAGAGAGCUCCUAGGAGAGUUCAGAAACUUACAAAGAGAAGACUAUCCAGAAUCCCCAAAUCCAGAGGACCCAGGUCCCUGGGGGCAGAGGUGGCUGAUCACGAAUCUUUCACUCCCACCUCAUCCUCUCAUCUCCCAUAUCAUUUUGUACCACCCCUGUGGGGAAACACCUGUCCCCCAUCUUUCCCUGACCCUGAUAUCUUGCCCUAACGCCUUCCUGGCUAUGAGAUAGCACAUAGCAAGCAUACGAUUAACUGUGAGAAGUGGGCUGAAAAGGACGGAACACCAGGACAUGCCAAAGUGCGGACUUUGGCAAUCCGGAUCAGUGCAGACACAUAUUGUUCUGUAGAUGUUAUGCAUAGGUAGCUGUCCCGGUCUUCAUCGUGCCCUAUAGAUAAUGAUCAGAUGCUCAAAGGUUAAGAGUUAAAAAAUAACUUGCUGUGUGCCUGGAGGCGGCCAUGCCCUGAAACCUUUUCCCCCUUACUCACAUUUUUUUUUCUUUUUUUUGUCUUUUGUUUUUAUAG